ACGUCCUACGAUACCGUUUAAUUAUAUCGUUUUAUGUUCUACGACGGUCAAUUACGAACAAAUUAUAACGUUCUUACGAUACCUACUUGACAUGACGUGCUAUUAUUUUACAAACGCUAUGUAAUAUCGCGGUGUACACGGGAACGUUAUAGUAUAUUAUAUUGAAUUUUUUACGGAAUUUUUAGGAGACAAUUAUUACCUAUAUCAAUUUC